CAAAAAGGGUCUAAUCCCCAAUCCUGGGGGUGGAUGCUGGUCAGCCAUCCUGCCAUCCUGGCAGGGGCAACCGUCCCCCAUCCCCCAUCUUAAGGGCCGGUGCAAAUCCCAUCCUCAUCCUACAGCUGGACCCCCCAAUUCCAUCCUGCCAGCCAGGGUCCCAUCCCCAAUCCCUUCGGCCAGGGUCCUUGGUCAAGGAUUUAAACCCCAUCCCUCUGGCUGGGUUCCCAUCCCCACCCUCACCCCGACAGCAAUCCCCAUCCUAAAAGUAGUGUAGCACGCCUAAUCCCCAAUCCUUGCCGUGGCCCCUAAACCCAACCUGACGUCGUCACCCUACUCCCCAUCCCGCCUGACCAGUACCUGCCCCCAAUCCCCAAUCUUUGCAACCCUCUGGACUUCCUGUCGUCUACAUCUAGCAGUGGGACUCUGAGAGAUAGGCCAGACAAUGUCCGCGUUAUGUUCACUGUUCCCUGCGUGCCUGCCACCUAGACGUGUCGGCCAUAGAGGUAUGUAUUCAUGUAUGUAUGUACCUCCGGUUAAUGAUGGGCUGGACCUGGAUAUCCGUUUGUGGCCUCGGUCAGAUUCAAGGGACCUAGGACGUGUGUACGUAAUUGUCAUGUGAUUGUCAUCACAAUACUUGCUUAGGUGCUUUAUACGGCGUUAUAUACCUGCCUGGUGCUAGGCAAGCUUUGGUCCUAUUCAGGCCUCCAGGCAUGAUGCCCAAGCGCCUGGAUCCUAACUAAACAGGCGUGGAAUCGAUCAGAAAGCUACGUGCGCGGAGCCGCUGAGCGGCCAGCCAACCAAGUGGCAUGGACACCGUGUUCCACAGAAAUAUAAAGGAAACAAGUUUUACGAAGAGCAGGUCUAGGUUACAAUAAGACAAUGGCC
rnacentral:lncRNA from 1 species